rnacentral:rRNA from 1 species
UACGAAGGGGGCUAGCGUUGUUCGGAAUUACUGGGCGUAAAGCGCGCGCAGGCGGUUUUCCAAGUCAGUGGUGAAAGCCCAGAGCUCAACUCUGGAACUGCCAUUGAAACUGUUAAACUAGAGGACGAGAGAGGUGAGUGGAAUUCCCAGUGUAGAGGUGAAAUUCGUAGAUAUUGGGAAGAACACCGGUGGCGAAGGCGGCUCACUGGCUCGUUUCUGACGCUCAGGCGCGAUAGCGUGGGGAUCAAACAGG